AUCAUCAGAGGUAUGACUGUUUAUACCCAUGGAAGAAACAGGGCGGUAGUUUGUUAGUGUACUGUGAAACUCUUCAUAAAACACGAAGGGAAACUGAUAAUAGGCGGCGAUUGAUCGUACUCAUAACCGCAACAGGUCUCCAAGAAUAAUAAUCUUUAGUUGAAUAGAAGAACGUAGGUAAGGGAAGUCGGCAAAACAGCUCUGUAAGUUAGCGAGAAAGAGUAGCUCUGAUGAAGACCAGUAAUGGUAAGAAUUUUGAUCAGAACUUUUAAGAUUAGGGGAAUCCGACUGUUUAAUAAAAACAUAGCAUUGUGAGAAAUAGGAAAUGUUCAUAACACAAUGUGAUUUCUGCCCAGUGCUCUGAAUGUCAAGGUAAUGAAAUUUACUUAAGCGCGGGUUAACGGCGGGAGUAACUAUGACUCUCUUAAGGUAGCCAAAUGCCUCGUCAUCUAAUUAGUGACGCGCAUGAAUGGAUCACCGUGAUUCCCACUGUCCCUAUCUACAAUCUAGUGAAACCACAGUCAAGGGAACGGGCUUGAUGAGAACGGCGGGGAAAGAAGACCCUGUUGAGCUUGACUCUAAUCUAUCUAGUGGAAUCGAUUUUUUGGUAUAAGCUAGGUGGGAGAGUAAUCGGACGUGUAAUACCACUACUUAGGAUACAAUUUCACUCACGUUAAGUAGCGAAAAAAAUAAUAAUUUGUAUUGAGAUGUGUUAAACCCUGUGGGUAAUUCGAGUAACAGACGAAGAUAGACAGGGAGUUUGGCUGGGGCGGCACAUCUGUUACAUGAUAACGCAGGUGUCCAAAGAUGGACUCAAAGAGGACAGAAACCUCUUGUUGAACAUAAGGGUAUAAGUUUAUUUGAAUAGUGAAACCAGUAAUUGUACUAAAUCUGAAAUGAAGGCCUAACGAUCCCUAAGAAUUUGCUAUGACAAAAAGAAUCGAGUAACUUAAAAUGCUAUGAAAAUUAUAAGGUGUCAUAGUCCUUUGACAAUAAGGUUUGGGGUGUCAGAAAAGUUACCACAGGGAUAACUGGCUUGUGGCUGCCAAGCGAUCAUAGCGACGUUGCUUUUUGA
rnacentral:ncRNA from 1 species